CGGAAACGACUGCUAAUACCGAAUAAGUUCCAAGAGCCGCAUGGCCCAUGGAAGAAAAGGUGGCCUCUACCUGUAAGCUAUCGCCUGAAGAGGGGUUUGCGUCUGAUUAGCUGGUUGGAGGGGGUAACGGCCCACCAAGGCGACGAUCAGUAGCCGGUCUGAGAGGAUGAACGGCCACACUGGAACUGAGACACGGUCCAGACUCCUACGGGAGGCAGCAUG
rnacentral:rRNA from 1 species